GCCCUCUAUCCUUAAUAUGGUCAAAUGGGGGUGCAAAUUUCAUAUUUUUCUUAAUAUGGUCAAAUGGUAUGCAAGUGAGAUUGCGUUAAGCUUUUGGGUUUAACUCUCUCACUCUCUUUGUGUUUGGGUUCCAUUUAUGGUUUUCUUUCUUUGUUUCUCUAUUUCAGUUCUCCUUUGGUUUUAACCCUUUUCUUUUUUUUUUCUUUUUUUUUUUUUUUUUUGUUCAUUCAUCUUUAUACUAUUAUCGGCAUAUCAUGAGGUUUAAAGAAAACUGAGAAAUUGAAAAAUUUUGAAUACUCAAAGCAUGCCCUUCUGUCUAAUGCUCUCAUAAAAAAGUCUCAUGGCCACGAAGGGAGUAUAUAAGACUGAUGAGGGUCAAGUAUCCAUAUAAACUAUAAAAGGAUUGUGUAUCCAAGUAUUUGGAAUCUUAAGAAAGAACAAUAAUUUACUAUUAUGAAAGGUUUUGACCUGAUUGGUAGUUUUGGACAAGUAACAUAAUCUCUUUAUCGGAACGAUGAUUGAGAUAAUAUUGUUUAAAUCAUUAUCUCCUUAUCUCUAAAUCUUUUAGUGCAAUACUAAUAAUUUCACUGCUAAUGAGAACUUUACUUGGGAUUUUCUUUUGUGUUGUUGCUUCUGAUUUUACUGAUUAAUGUAUUUCUUGAAGGUGGUGAUGUAAUCAUAAGAAAAAGUCGAGUUCUUUAGUUCAUUGCAAGUCGACCCAUUCCCAGCAGAGUGUGCUUUAAAGAAAAAACAGUUCAUAGAGUAAGAGAAACAGUCAAGUGCCAUUGUGUAAGAUUCUAGGACUGCUGAAUUGGAAUACUCAGAGAAACAAUAUGCAUAGGGAUCACUAAUAAUGUUUUUUUGGUGUAUGUAUCUCAUACGUUGGAAGGCACCCUAACAUUGAAAACAGCACUUCUUUUUGUACAAACUUUGCUUUCUGCUCCUCACGGAUGAUCCUCAAGAUGCUGCGGUGGCACAACGGGUUAAACUCGCUUUUUUCCUUUAACCAAAUAUGUGUAUGGAUUAGUGGUGGACUAUGUUUAGUGAAUGUGUAUUUGAGCUCUGUAGAUGACUGCAUGUUGUGUUGACUUCAAAUUUUUGUUAUCAAUCACUCUUUCAAGUGCUUAUUUGAAUCAUUUAAUCCCAAAUUCAAAAAACUGAAAUUGC